rnacentral:rRNA from 1 species
CCUACGGGCGGCAGUAGUGGGGAAUAUUGCACAAUGGGGGAAACCCUGAUGCAGCGACGCCGCGUGAGUGAAGAAGUAUUUCGGUACGUAAAGCUCUAUCAGCAGGGAAGAAAAUGACGGUACCUGACUAAGAAGCCCCGGCUAACUACGGGCCAGCAGCCGCGGUAAUACGUAGGGGGCAAGCGUUAUCCGGAUUUACUGGGUGUAAAGGGAGCGUAGACGGCAGCGCAAGUCUGGAGUGAAAUCCCAUGGCUUAACCAUGGAACUGCUUUGGAAACUGUGCAGCUAGAGUGCAGGAGAGGUAAGCGGAAUUCCUAGUGUAGCGGUGAAAUGCGUAGAUAUUAGGAGGAACACCAGUGGCGAAGGCGGCUUACUGGACUGUAACUGACGUUGAGGCUCGAAAGCGUGGGGAGCAAACAGGAUUAGAUACCCCAGUAGUC